AUCAAAAACAUGGUUUUCUGAAUUUAAUAGAAAAUCAGGUCUGCUCUAUGAAAAAAAUUAAAUGGCUGCAGUAAUUUUGACUGUACUAAGGUAGCGUAAUAAAUAGCUUAUUAAUUGUAAGCUUGUAUGAAAGAUUUGAUGAAAUAUAUACUUUAUUGAACUAAGAGAAAGAAUUUUAUUUUUAAGUAAAAAAGCUUAAAUAAAAAUGAGGGACGAGAAGACCCUAUAGAUUUUUAUAGGUUAAAGGAAUGACUCUAUUUAGUUUUUAAGAGCUUACUUGAACUUAUUUAGGUGGGGAAUCUUAAAAAUUACAAAAUUUUUUAAUUUAAAGACAUUUAUGUAUGAUUAAAAGAAGAGAAAGAAGAUAAGGAAAAUAGAAAUACCUUAGGGAUAACAGCAUAAUAUUUUUAUUUAGAUCUUAUAGAUAAGAGUGGUUGUGACCUCGAUGUUG
rnacentral:rRNA from 1 species